UUAAUUUAAGUCAAUCAAUGAUAUUUUAAUUUUAAAAUUUGAAUGCGAUGUUUAUUUUUACAAGCCUAGUUAAUAUACUUUAUACAAUUUUCGCAACCAUAAAUACAUUAAAAUAAGUAAUUAGCUUAUAUUUUAAAUUGUAAGAUUAAGCAGUAAAAUCAAAAUUUUGAAAUAUUGAAUAGCUAAAUCAAAAUAUUUCAUAGCUCAUAAAAAUUUUGUGCGUAUUUAAAUUUUUUUUAUUAUGAGUUGGUCUCGUGAUAUUUAUUAGGCGUUCUCAUGUUAGAAGCUGUUUGGCAGAGAUGGAGAGUUUCGUUGUGUUUUCCAGUGUGUGACCUUCAAAGGCAGCAGCAGAGUGCUAAAUUGUGGUUCUAAUUUUCUACGAAAACAAAAGGGAUCUUGCACCAUCAGCCAAAAUCAAUUUGAAUACAACAGAGUAUUCAUUUUGGAUUAUUUUGUAUCUAAUUCCUCAGAUGCAAGUCGUUUUUCUUUCUGAAUUUAGGGUAUGUUUGUUUCAUCGAAACUGGACUUUGGGUUGAACUGGAGCUCGGUGAAAACUACUUCUUUCCCGCUGUUUGUUUCGUGAUUAUGGAAGUUAAAUUAAGGCCUAGAGCCCAAUACAGGGAGUCCCUAGUUACAAUAGCAAAUACUUGGGCCUGUGGCCCAACUCGACCUUAUUCCUGGGUGCACUGUUUAGUAAGAAAGCCAAUCUGGCCCGGCCUACGGAACAAAAGGCCCAAAUCACGUAAUUUAAACCAAUCUAUAUUUUACGGCCCAAAUCAUAGUAUUGUUAUUAACAUUAGUGGUUCAAUUACAUAAUAGUGGUGACCUUUUCGCAUAGUAAUACUUUUAUUUCAUUUUUUAGAUAAUAAUAAUCCGACAACUUACCUGAUCCAAAAAGUCUAUUUUUCCAGUUUGGGUUAUCAUUUUUGUAUGUGACUAAAAAUAAAAAAGAGGAUAGUUAAUCUUACAAUUAUUGGGUGAAGAAUUAUAAAAAUUAGAAUCCUUUUGAUUGCAGACUUAGUAAUUUUUAACUUAAAAAUGCUUGUUCAAAAAGCAAAUAAAAUUGAAUUAAGAGUUCCAAACUAGUAGGAUUUGGAUAAAGAGAUGGGAAGUUGGUGCAUACGAGGGAAGAGAAGGAAAACACAGGCAUCACGUGCUAAGGACCACCGACACAACUUCAUGUCUCUCUUCUUUUCUUUUUUCAUUUUUUUGGUCCGUUCUGUUUUGUCAUGGUCCUUUUGACUCAUAAUAACAAUCAUGCUCUCCUACUAGCCCACCUUGAAGAUUCUCCUCCUAUGAGGCUAUAAUCCCUCCCCACCACUAGGAUCCAUCCCAUCCCUCCCUCCCUCCGCAGUCCCAGCCGAAGAAACCCAGAACAAUCUCCUCAACAAACUACAGCUAAUUAAUCAGUCCACCGAUCAAUCUACAGUUAUUAUGGGCAUAACCCACAACCCCCACCACAACCAUUUCCCCACCAAGAAACUCAUCACUUGGGCUCUCUAUGCCCUCAUCCCCUUAGCCCUCCUCCAUUUCUACCUCUUCCCCCUCUCCUUCCCCCACCGCCAAUCCCCAUCUCCCCCUCAUUCCCAAACCCCCGUCCACACAAUCUCCUCCUCCCAUCAAGGUCUAUAAAUAAAUAAAUAAAUAAAUAUCGACAUUAAUUAAUUUCCAUCGCGUUCAUUUUCUCUAAUAAUUAUUUUGAUUCCUGCUGCCGAGCAACAGCAACAGGUGAGCGGAGGCUGCGGUGCGACUACGGGGAGGGGCGAUGGGUUCGGGACGCGGCGGGGCCGCUGUACAACGGCACGAGGUGCGGCACCAUCAAGGACGGCCAGAACUGCAUGGCGCACGGCCGCCCCGACACCGGCUAUCUGCACUGGCGCUGGGAGCCGAAGCGCUGCGCCCUCCCGCGGUUCGACCCCGCGUCAUUUCUUACGCUGCUGAAGGGCAGGCACCUGGCGAUGGUCGGCGACUCCAUGGCGCGGAACCAAAUGGAGUCGCUGCUCUGCCUCCUCGCCACCGCGUCGCGCCCCGAGCUCGUCUACCGCGACGGCGACGAGAACAAGUUCCGGCGGUGGGUCUUCCGCGAGCACAACGCCACCGUGUCGGUCUUCUGGUCGCCGUUUCUCGUCCGAGGCGUCGAGAAAUCGGCGGCGGCGGCGGCGGCGGCGGGGCUGGACCACAACGAGCUGCACCUCGACUCGGCCGACGCGCGGUGGGCGUCGGAGUUGGAUAGGAUGGACGCGGUGCUGUUCUCCGUCGGGCACUGGUUCCUGCACCCGGCCGUGUACUACGAGGGCGACGCCCUGCUGGGCUGCCACCACUGCCCGGGGCUCAACCACACCGAGAUCGGAUUCUUCGGCGUGUUCCGGAAGGCGAUUCGGAGGGCUCUUCGGGAGGUCGUGGACGCAGAGAAGGAGAAGCUCGUGGUGGUGACGACGUUCUCGCCGGCGCACUUCGAGGGGGAGUGGGACAAGGCCGGGGCGUGCCCGAAGAAGGAGCCGUUCGGAGAAGGGGAGAGGGAGAUGGAGUACACGGACAAGGAGAUGCGGAAAAUUGAGCUGGAGGAGGCGGCUGCGGCGGCGGCGGAGGCCAUGGCGAAGGGUGGAAGGGUGAAAAUAGAGGCGUUGGACGUGACGGAGUUGGCCCUGAUGCGGCCCGACGGGCACCCGGGCCCGUACAUGUAUCCGAAUCCGUUCGCCGAGGGGCCGAAGGAGAGGGUGCAGAACGAUUGCGUGCACUGGUGCCUGCCCGGGCCGAUCGAUGCAUGGAACGAGAUAUUGCUCGAUAUGAUGAAGAGAUGGAAAGAAGAGUGAGAAUUAUUGAACGGAAAAUUUUGUUGUGUGUAUCAAUGUUUUUCUUUUCUUUUCUUUUCUUUCUUUUCUUUUUUUUUUUCUCCUUUGUUUGAUUUUGUUUUUAGUUUAGGAUACUGUCGAGAGGGAUAAAGAGGUUGGUAUGUUUCAUGAGGGUUGAUAGGGAAAGAUUGAGGAAAUCUAGCAACGUUGAAAGUUGGGAACAGGUGAAAUCUGUAGGUUCCUCUUGGAAAGUGAAUUUAUUCGUACCAAAAUGGAGAAGGUCAUUAAUUUUUGUUCUCGAGCUAUGUGUUGAGAGUUUUUAUUAACCCCGAGUUUUUGAGAGUUUAGGAAGAAAAAGAAUGAGAAGGGAAAGGUUGAGAGAUUUAGUAAAGCCUCACGCUUGGUGGGGCUUCAGGCAGAAAACAGUCCAUAGAUUACAAAUGUUAUACUUACCUCACAUUAUCAGUAAUAAACUAAUCAUUUCUUUUUUUUGAGAGAGAGAGAACUACGACAAAAAUAUUUUUCUAUUAAUCAUGAUGAAUAGGUGAGCCUAAGGAGAACAAUUUCAUUGGUAGGGAAUACCACAUCAAUUAUGUGUAUUAUAGAUUUUUUUUCUCAGGCAGAUAGUAAUAAAGUAAUAACAAUAAUUUUCGGCCUGCAUUUUCUUUUGCGGUGACUAAAUGUGUCAAAAAUUUUGAAAAUAUUUUAGAUCAACAAUUUGAUUUCGUCUCCAUGAGAUCUUUAACAAAUAAUGUUACUAAGAAUUUGCACCAAAGCAAUUUUAUUUAACAAUAACAUAAUAAUAUAAUAAUUUGUAUUAUAUUAAAAUAAUAUUAGAGAUUUACUUCUGUAAUUUUCUUUUAUUGAAAGGAAAAAAUAAUUAUAUAAAAUAACUUAUUUGCUCAGAGGUGGGCAGCUGGAAGACACCCAACACAAUGAAAAACUCUACUUGUUUAAAGUUUAAUCUAAGUUAAUUAAUUAAUGCUUGGAGUGGGUAAAUAACUUGCCCACCUGGUAGUCCUGGGAGAGCAAUUUAGGGAUGUGCUUUAAUGAAGUACUUAAAAUAUAUCAAAUUUCUACAAAAGUUACAAAUUUAAGCAUAUACUUAAAUUUCUUCCUCUCAGUUAAACAAAUUUUAAAUUUGUUUAUUAUAUUGGACCUCUAGGAAAAGUGCUAUAACCAAUUAAAUUGGAGUUUUUUUUUUUUUUUUUUGAGAAAUAGAUAGCAAGCUAUCUGUUUCAUUCAUUAGGUAAAAUGAACUAAGCGUACAAUAUGAAGACAGCCAGGGCCUCCCAGAGAACAGGCGAAAAGAGAUAAACAAAACAAAAGAGAAAAAAAAGGGGGGUGUUAGUAAGGAGAGGAGGGAUUGGAGCUGAAGCCCAAUCGUCACGUCACCGUAAAGAGUUCCAGUCGUUUAGCAAAAGUUUGACACGUUCGAGAGACCGGGUAACGUUGUGCGUAAUUCCGCAAAAAAUGACGUUAUUUUUGUCUGUCCAGAUCACCCACCAAGUCGCAGCCAAGAGGAUCAGACCUUGCGUCCUCGAGGAGUGAACCGGGAUGCCGCACGAUCCGUUCCAAAGAGUGUUGACGUGACGUCCAAUAUAGCUAGAGAACAAUAGUUUUAACAGUACACGUCCAAUAUAGCUAAAAAAAGUUGUUUAAUAAGCCAACCAAAUAAAGAAGCAAGUCCUACCAGUACUUCAAAUGUGAUAUUUUACCAAAAUUAAAACAAACCAAAUUUAUUAAAUUUUAUCACUAAUUAUAUUACUAAUAUAAAAUUUAACUUUACUAAUAAAAUCAUCUCUUAACCAAGGCCUCAAGAUUACUGAUUUUUUCUAAGAGAAAAAGAUAGCAAACUAUCUGUUUCCUUUAUUUUUUUUUAAAUCGAACUCAACUAGCCAUAUAAAAUAAGUAAGCUUCAAAAUUAAAAUUUUGAGUGUUAAUCACCAAGUUUUAAGCCCAGAGUAUUAGAAUGUUUAGGGCCUGUUUGGUUUAAAGUAAAACUAUGAAAAAAAAAAAUUUCGGUGGAAAAAANAUUAUAUAGAAAAGAAAGAGAGGGGGGAGAGAGAGAGGUCCACCGGCGGUCCUUGCCCUUCCAAACGCCGCGAUUUUUGGGCGUCUAGUUUCGAGCGAAAAACGAAAACGACACUUUUCCUCACAAUGCGUAAAAGAAAUUUUUCGAAAAUUUUUUUUGUGAGCAAACAAACUGCGGAAAGUUAUUUUCCACCGAAAAAUUUUUUCAAGAUGAUUUUUUUUUUUUUAGAGAUAGAUAGUAUACUACCGCUUAAUUUAUUUUAUUUACAAAUAAACUUAAAUAGAAAUAUGAAUUAAUUAGAAUUUGAACUUAAAAUUUUAGAUACCAAUCAUCAAGCACUUUGCGUAGGACGAAACAAACGCACCCUUAAGCUCCGUUUGGAUACCUCUAAAAACGUAGCAUAGUUAAACUAUGCUACGCCGGUAGAAAAAUAAUUCUAUGAAGCAUUUGGAAGAAAAAAAAAAUAACGUAAUUUUUGGAGUAUAGUUAUACUAUACUCCAAAAAAUAGAGUAAAUUUACAAUCCACUUUAACCAAAGGAAAAAAAUUUCAUCAUUUUGAGCUCCCAAAGAUGUAUCAAUUUCUAAAUUUUAAAUUUCAGCAUAAAAUUUUAAAUUUCAAAAUUUAAAAUUUUAAAAUUCAAUUUUAAUUUUGAUUUCAAAUUUCAAAUUUCAAAUUUUAAAUUUCAAAUUUCAAAUUUCAAAAAGUUCAAAUAUCAAAUUUCAAAUUUCAACUUUCAAAUUUCAAAUUUCAAAUUUUAAAUUUUAAAUUUUAAAUUUCAAAAAGUUCAAAUAUCAAAUUUCAAAUUUCAACUUUCAAAUUUCAACUUUCAAAUUUUAAAUUUCAAAUUUCAAAAAGUUUAAAUUUCAAACUUCAAACUUCAAACUUCAAACUUCAAAUUUCAAAUUUCAAAUUUCAAAUUUCAAAUUUCAAAUUUCAAAAAGUUCAAACUUCAAAUUUCAUCUUUCAAAUUUCAACUUUCAAAUUUCAAAUUUCAAAAAGUUCAAAUUUCAACUUUCAAAUUUCAAAUUUCAAAAAGUUCAAAUUUCAUAUUUCAUAUUUCAAAUUUCAAAUUUCAAANNNNNNNNNNNNNNNNNNNNNNNNNUUUCAUUUUAAAUUUCAAAUUUCAAAUUUUUAAUUUAUUUUUAGAUUUUUAAUAUUCAAUUUUAAAAAUUUUAAUUUAACUUUAAAUUUUAAUUUAAUUUUUUAUUUAAUUAUUGUAAUUAUAAAUUUUAUGAAAAUAUUUAAAAUUUAAAAUUUUAUUAUAUAUUUUUUAAAAUUUCAAAUUCAAAUUUCAAUUACAAAUUUUAAAACUAAAUUUUAAUUUAAUUUUUUAAAAUUUUUAAAAUUUAAUUUAUAUAUUUUUGAAUUUUGAAUUUUAAUUUUUAAAAUUUUAUUUUUAAAUUUUGAAUUUUGAAUUUUGAAUUUUAAAUUUUAAAAUUUUAGAAAUUUAAUUGUUAUAAAUACUAUGGAAUUAUAUUAUCUGUAUCAAAACAGCUUAAAAAUGAAGCUGUGGAAUUUUUUUGUAGUUACAGAAUUCCGUAUUUUAUUUAGACCAAAACCGAAUAAAAAUUCUAUGGAGUUUUUUAACUAUGCAUCCAAACAGAGCCUUAGUCUCAAAGUUGCCGACAAAUAUUUUUAAUCAAAUUAUUGGAAGCGUGGUCACAAGCUUCCUUGUGCCCCGAAUGGGGAUGUAGUUGUUUGCACGACCUGCGCCUGUAAAUUAUUUUGGACUCUUGGCCACGUGUAGGAGCAUCCCUGUGAAUUAAUCACUUGCAACCGUGUCCGUGUAACCUUGAAAAUUGCUCCGGAAAUUGUGCUAAGUCACUGCCUAUUUCUCUUUUUUUUCAACACUAUUCAAUUAUUAGUAAUAGUUCCUAUUUUUUUUAAAAAAAAAAUAGAUAGCAUGCUAUUCGUUUUGUUUAUUUUAUUUAAAAAUAAAUUUAACUGUAAAUGUGAAUCAACUAGAAUUCGAAUUUGGUAUCUCGGAUACCAACCACCAAGUCUUUUGUUGACGAUCGGUAAUGGUUCCAGUAUUAGUUGGUCUCCUCAGUUUAAAGGAGUGCUCAUAUUUUAAUUUUUAGAUUUUUAAUUUGUUAUAAUAUUUUGGUUUGAAUUUUAAAAUUAUUGUAAUUAAAAUUUAAUUAAUUAUUAAAUUAUAUUAUUUAAUUUAUUUUACUAAAUAUUAGUAUAUCACCAAAAAAAAAUGAUGUGAUAGGAUUGUCAAUUGUGAUUGAUAAUACAUUAACAAUUAAAAUAUAAAUUAUUUUUAUAUUAGCAACACGUUAAUAGUUAAUCAAUUAAAUUUAUUUAUGUUACUUAAUUGAAUAAUUUUAAAAGUUCAAACAAAGAAUUAUAAUAAAUUAAAAUUUAAGCGUGGUUCUGAUUUUCUUCGAAAACAAAAUGGAUCUUGCACCAUUAACCGAAGUCAAAUUGAAUAUAACAGAGUAUUCAUUUUGGAUUAUUUUGUAUCUAAUUCCACAAAUGCAGGCGUUUUUUUUUUUUUUUUUUUUCGAAAUUUGAGUAUACAUAAAGAUUUUAGUCUAAUCUUUUUAUGUCAAUAAAGCCACAAAAUGUCUUUAUUUCUCCAGGAGAUUGGACUUCAUAGUUUUGUCCUGUAAUGAAUUGGUCACAGGAUUACUCAUUUAUUCACCAUUUUUUUUCUUUCAUGAUCAAAUAUUGGAGCUUCUCUCUCUCUCUCUCUUUUUCUUUGUAGAAACUUAAAUCAUUGACAUGCACCUAAGAUCUCCACCAAACUGUGGACCCAUCACUUUAAUUAAGACCUGAAUCAAAUUCUUUCGUAUCAUUACUCUAAUUAAUCCCAUUUGAUGCCAAAACUCUAGAAUAUAAUAAUUACAGGUGCACCCAAUUGAGAAUUCUACUAUAUAAUAAUUACAGGUGCACCCAAUUUAUAGCAAGAGCACAAGAAACCCUGAAUUUGGCUAGUUCACUAGAAUAUAUUAGUAGCUUCUACCAAGGCCUGGUGAGAGAUCACUUUUCAUAUUGAGUUUGGUUGAAUCCUACAAUUAAUUACCUUCACAUCAUUUGCCAUGUAGGAUAAAGCAUAAUCUAUUAAUUAGCAUGCAUCCUCCAAGUAGUCCUUCCUAGUUGAGCAAACAAAAGAUGGAGAGCAAGCACACAUCAGAGUCCUCUAAUAUUGGAACAUCUUUUCUCUCUGCUGUGUCAUCAUCUCACAUGAAUACCACACAGUCCAAGAACAUGGUAGCUUCACAAUCUCUAUACUAUUCUCUUGAGUGGAAUGCGAUCCAAAAGAAAAUCGGAUCCUUCCUGUUUUUGUUGCUUCUACUCUCCACCAUCUUCCUUUUGUUCAUCUUGUAUUCUUCAAACACUUACAAUAUCACAACCAAAUAUGCCCUUAAAGAGAUCUCCAUUUCAGAGAAUUUGUCUCCUCCUGCAACCAAGGAAGCACCCAUCAAUGAGUCUUCACUCGCCACUACUCAAAGAUCACCCGCAACUGGUAAAAAGCAUUAAUUAUCUUUGUUGUUAAUUUACAUUAAGCAUUUUUAGUCUGUUUGGCUCCACUUCUGCUUCCACUUCCUACAGCAACAACAAAUUCUUGUUGAGUUUUUGAUAAGAAAUAUUUGGUGCAUUCGUUGUUACCGGAAGUAAAAUAAAUUAAAUUUCAAGCCUCAAAAGUAUAGUAUAAAUUAUGAAAGAAUCAAUUUUAGGCACUUUGUUGUACUAGUUCAGUUCUAUUAACAACACUAUUAAGACACCACCUAUAUCUUAGAGCAGCGCCAAAUAGACUCUUUAUAUUAAUGUUUUUUGAGUAAUAAACAUAUUGCAUUUGAAUUUAUGCAUGGCGCGGAAGAUGUGUGUGAUUUGUCCGUGGGAAAGUGGGUAAAGGAACCAAGAGGGCCUCUAUACAACAACGCGACGUGCCGAACCCUGCCAGAUUUGAAGGACUGCAUGAAGUACGGGAAGGAGCCGAGCUACUUGUACUGGAGAUGGAAGCCCGAGGGGUGCGAGCUCCCGAGGUUCGAUCCCGAAACGUUCCUCGCCGUCGUCCGGGGCAAGAAGAUGGGCUUCAUCGGAGACUCACUCGCCCGGAACCAAAUGGAGUCCCUGCUGUGCCUUUUAUCUCAGGUUACCACUCACAACAUCCUAGUAAUGUGCUAACAAAUUUAAGGAAGAUCAUUGAUUCUGUACUUGUCUAAAAGAUUGCAUAGCUAACUCAAAAUGAUUUAUAGUUCAGAUAAGUUACAUACGCGUUUUCCUGAAAAUAUUGUAAUAUGCAAAUGAAUUGUGUUUUCUCUCUACAGUUCAGUGAGCUUGUAGCUAAUUCUUGUAUUUUUCUUCAACGAAAUCUACUUGUUACAUAGGCAGAGACUCCAAUCGACGUAUACAAGGACGACGGCGACAAAUUCCGAACAUGGCACUUCCCCUCCCACAACUUCACGCUCAUGGUCAUGUGGACCGAAUUCUUCGUCGAAGGAAUACAAAGGAUAGUAAACGGAACGGCUACUGCGUCAUAUGACAUACACUUAGACAAGAUCAACACAAACUGGACCUCGCGACUUCCGGGUCUAGACUUCGCGGUCAUCUCCGGCGGUAACUGGUUCUUCCGAACCCACUACUUGUACGAAGGCGGAAAAACCGUCGGCUGCCUCAACUGCGGAGAGGACAACGUAAGAGACCUCGGCGUCGAGUUCGCCGUCCGAAGUGUAGUUCGAAAGGCGCUCGAGUUCGUUAGUACGUGCGCGGAGUGCGACGGGCUUGUAACAUUCCUGAGGACAUACACACCAUCACACUUUGAGAAUGGCUCAUGGUUCACUGGGGGGUACUGCAACAGAACUCAACCCUUGAGUGAGGAUGAGUUAGGAUUGCGCGGUUUUGAUUUGAAAUUGAGGAAGAUUCAAUUUGAAGAGAUGGAGAGAGCUAGGAGGACUAAGGUUAAUGGGCCGGGCCGAGAAUUCGGGCUUUUGGAUGUGACGAAGGCGAUGAUGCUUCGGGCCGACGGGCAUCCGGGGGCCCAUUAUGAUAAAAGGUGGGUUAGGAAUGCUAAUGAUUGCUUGCAUUGGUGCUUGCCCGGGCCUGUUGAUAUGUGGAACGAGGUGCUAUUGGAAACUCUAAAAAAGCAUUCGCCACUCUAGUGGUACAAUUUUAGUUAUUUGUUUGGAUUAAACAUAUAAGGUGCAUUUGGUUCAGAUUAUCCCGACAGGUAAUUCUGUUAGAAUUAUUGUAUUUGGUUCAUCCGGUAUGUAAUCUGCUCGGUAUUACAGGAUUACAAAAGGUAUAAGAUUAUACUUAAAAUAUUACUGAGAGGAUGGGUGUGUAUCUUGGAUUACUAAAGAUGGCUAAUCUUGCAUGUUAUAUAAAAUUAUAAAUUUACCCUUCCAAUUUCUGAAAGCCAUUUAAUACGUCAUUUUAAAAAUUUUACUUUAAAAUUUUGAAUUGUCAAAUCUUAAAUUUUAAAUUUUGAAUUUGAAUUUUAAGUUUUAAAUUUUAAAUUUUAAAAUUUGAAUUUAAAUUUAAAUUUUUAAUUUUUAAAUUUUGAAUUUUAAAACUAAAAUUAAAAUUUUCAUUUUUAAAAUUUUAAAUUUAAAUAUAAAAUUUUUAAUUUUACAUUUUACAUUUUAAAUUUUAAAAUUCAAAUUUGUAUUUUAAAUUCUAAAUUUUAUAUUUAGAUUUUAAAUUUAAAUUUAAAUUUAAAUUUAGAUUUUAGAUUUUAAAUUUAUAAAUUUAAUAUUUAUAUUUUAAAUUAAAAUAUUAAAAGAUAUAUUUUUGUUCCAAUUUAAAGUUUAAAAUUUAGAAUUUAAAAUUUAAAAUAGUUAUAAUAAAAUUUAGCCAAAAAAUAUUAUUUGUAAAUAAUAAAAAAAAUUGUCAAAUAUGGCUAAUAAGGGCAGUUUUGAAAUAGGCUAUAUUUUAUUGUUAAAAUUAUUGAAUUUUAUAGACUAAACCAAAUAGAGUAAUGCUAUAAACACUGUAAUACAGCAUUAUAUUACUGCAUUAAACCAAACGCGCUAAUACACCAUUAGUAGUAAUCUCAUUUAGAAAUUCAAGAAAUCUAGAUAUAUCGAACUACUCUGUAAUAUUACGCAACUUGAACCAAACACGCCCUAGAAAUAUUUGCACAAAUGAAUAGCUUUUGUACGUGAUUUUCCUUUUCUUUUUUCCUUUUAAACUACCAUAACAUGGUAACAUCCAAAAGCUCAAUCAUAAACUAAGAAUAAUUAAAAGAAAAAGCCUUUACAAAAUAUGUAUAUCCAGGACUUCGCCUGAUCACUAUUCACUAAUGCACACAAUCAUUAGCAACCUGAAAAACAAACCUGAAACUGGUCUUUAAAAUUAAUUCCCAGUCCUAACCAGCAACCUGGAAAAACAACCUGAAAAAGAGCACCAAAACCCCGAAUCCGAGAAGAAAGAGACACCCAAUUCCCAAGACUGACAGGUAGUCUUCUAUGUCGGCCAAUCGGCGGCGACGGCGGGAUUCGUUGGUACGGUUACUGCGAGGGACGUAAGGGACGAAAGGAUCCUUCACGAUGACGAUCUCCAGGAGCUGCGGCUGUCGCUGUGGCUGCAGCUGUGGUGGCCGCGGCGGCUUCUCUGUCCUCCUCAGAGGCCUCACAGUCGACGGCACGCGGUCGGAGGAGACUAAAACCACCCUGUCCAUCUUGCAGAGAGCUUCUUGAUUGCAACGAGACAAAGUUUGAACGUUGAUGGAAGAACCAUGGGGCAUGCAUGCAUAUAUAUAUAUAUACACACACACAUAGAGAGAGCAAUCUUUAGCUAUUCAAGUUACUUAGCGACACGGAUUAGGAAAUAGGAAAAGCUUGUUUCCACUAGGAGUAGGAAUAAGAAGAGAGGGAGAAAAUCAAAAAAAAAAAAAAAAAAGUCGUUUAUGCAAAUCAUAUUUAAAUGCCUAACUAUAAAUUAAUAUACCUUUAUCUUUUUUAAAUAAAAAAAAGAAAAAACAAAGAUUUAAAAUAUUUAAGAGAUAUAGGAUAAACAAAGCCGUUACCUACUUGGAGUAUUAUUCUAUACAGACACGUAACUAUUAAUUCGAAUAGUAGGGAAAAAAAAUAAAAGAAAAAUCGAGAUUGAACAAAUUAACAAGCGAGAUCAGACCCAUCAAACUAGUAAAAUGAUAAAAUUAAAUGCAUGCAACACACUAGCAUAAGGGAUGAACACGUAAACUUCAAUUUGAAGAGAGAAAUAAAACCCUCUACUUUGUGUUGUUAAUGAAACCAAGCACAAUAGCAUUCCUGAGUUAACUUGGACUGUAGCAAAUAAACACCAAAUUAGCUCAAACUAUGGCAAUUAAAAUAGCACGAACAUAGAUUUGCACUGACCGGAAUGUAUUAUUUUGAUGUCAAAUAAAUCUAUCUAUUUUACAGUUACGACAGGAUAAUCUUGUCACCCUUUUGAAUAUCAGGAGAUGAACAUGACCCCCAGCAAACUAAGAUGCGAGUAUGAUACAACGUGAAAUAUGAAAGUUAUGCGACGGAUUGAUCGCUAAAAUAUGUUGCAUUACAUUGACUAUCACAAGGUGAUUCUGGUAGUUGUUUGCGCAUUAAGUACUUGCGCCGCUGAACACUCAGCCAAACUAAGAUACUGUCAGUUCGGACAACCUCGUAACCAGCUUUUUUAUACAUCUUAAAUGGAACUUUGUCGACCAUUCUGCAGUGGAGAUAUACAGUUCUUUUAGCUCCCAUUCGGAUUAUCAGCUCCUCACACGCUUUCAGGAGUUGCUUUCCAAUUCCCCUCCUAGAAUACAAAAAGAAUAUCAGCAUAUAAACCAUAAUGCGGGAAAUCCCUAGUUGAAUGUCGGAUGAGCUAAUAUGCAGCACGUGUGGCCUUUGGAUCUGCGUCGAGUAAUACAUCUCUAAUUUUACAACAAUGAUGAAGAGAACAGUUGUCUGUACAAUGAACACAAUACGAGUUUAUAAUCAUCAGGGACAUGUUUCAGAACUAAAGAGGGGAAGGGGGAGCAGGGGAAAGGAAAGGUCUUCCUCUGUGAACGAGUCGAUACAAAAAAUUUACGGCGAAUUGCAAAUGCCACAGUUCGGUUCAACACAAAGGAUAAUGUGGGUGUUAAUACUGGGGGUCCUGUUUCUAAUUUUCUAUGCCUCUUUUGAUUUGACUAAUUUUGGCUAAAAGCUGCUACAUUACCUGAAUGGGUCUAAUGGUUGCAACUAUCUACCUAUUAAUCAUCAGGGCAAAUUUCAAAUCUUAUUUGAUGCGCAAAUUUUUUGGCCAAGCCCCCUUAUUCAUGUCAUAUUCAAGUUAUCUUGCAACACAAAACAAAUCUUAAGAUACGACUUCACGGCCUCCGCCAUUCCUGUAGAAUAUUAUCAUUUCAAGCUAUUCCUUUCUUAGCUCGGCGUUGUCAUGUUUCUAUUUUCUGCAAGAAUACAAUCCCGGCAAUAGUUUUCUAGUAGCUUGUGAAUUGUGACCGGGAGAUUCCAAGUGAUGGAGAACAAAUUCAAAAUUCAAUUAGCAACAAUAAUAUCAGCGAAUUCAAAUGAUCACUAAAUUAACAUCUUCCUCCUAAAGACACAAUUUAAAUAGCACGACAAGCAUACAUUGGGCGAUUCCGAUAAGGAUACCUUCUAAGCGACUUUUUCACAGUCAUGUUGCAGAUGUAGGGGCAAUCGGGCGGGGGCGGCGGCGUCGGGGGAGCCGCGAUGGCGCCGACGGCGUCGAAGGAGACCUCGGCGGUGCACGCGAGCUCCGCCUCCUCCGCGCCCUUCUUGCUCGUGUACAGGCCCACGAGCACCACCGCGUGGGGGACGAGGCGGCGCCGCUCCACCACGUACUGCUUCACCAGGAAGGCGAGGAGCUGCGUGUAGCGCGGCGGCGCCCACAUGGACUCGCUGAACGACUCGGCGAGGAGUUCGACGGCGGCGUCGAGCUCGGACUCGUUCAUGGCCCGGAUCAGCAGCGACCCGUGCUCGAACUCGUGCUCGUAGCGGAACUCUUCGAGCACGCGGAGCCGCUCCGGGGCGUCGAGGUCGAGGAAGCAUCCCCCGCCGCCGCCGCCGCCGAGGGAGGAGUCGGCGGCGACGGGAGGGGCGGGGAGAGAGGAGCGGCGGCGGCGGAGGAGAGAGCGAGCGAAAGCGUAGGGUUUGGAGAGGGAGAAGGGGCGAUGAGAAUGGCGAGGGUUGUGAUGGCGAGAGAGGAUGGGGUGGAGGGUGGAGUCCAACGAGAGGGAGAGGGAGGUGGGGGAGGACGCCAUGGAAGGGUUAUAGAGGGAGGAGUGGGACGGGAGGAAGAGGAGGAGGAGUGGGGGUCCAUUUUGAAUGGGAGGAGGAUAAUGAAGGGUUGGGUUAUUUACUAUUUAGUUUUCUUUUUUAAAAAGAAAAUUAGGUGAAUUCAAAUGUUCACUACGGCUGCUUUAAGUUAUUCUCUUUCUGAUGAGUUCUUCUUAUGGUUCAAGGAAAGAGAGGAAUCAGUUAUUAGAGUAACCAAAGGGAGAUGCUAUUUUUCACUGGGUAUCGAUUCUCCGCAAACGUUGGUGCGUAAGAAUUUUCUGUAUAUUUGGAGUUUCGAGUUUCUACCAUCUAUCACAAGAGGGCCGUGGUUGAUCUCUAUCAUGCAAACCCCGCUUUUUGGCUACUAUUAUAGAGUGUAGUUUUUCAUGGAGACCAAGUUUGUUUUUCAGAUAGAUCAUUAGACUUCUAACUUGCAGAAAAUUUUAUUCAUCAAAGUUGCUGAGAAUUUAUGGCCUUACUGUAUCCAUCUUAUCUUUAAUUUCGAUUCCCAGCGGACGCAUCGGCAGUUAGCCAUUAAUAUCAAUUUGUAGUGAUGUAUAAUGUUCAGCCUCCAUAGUAGUUAUUAUUCAUUUGGACAUUUGUUGAUUACUGCAACCUCUUGCGGUAGAGAUUUCAUUUUGCUGGAACGAGAGAAUCUUAAUGAAAAUACAAGAAAAACCAAUGUUUACUUACGUAUUUGUCAUUUUGUAUAUGUAAUUACAUUCAUCUUCCUACAUAAACCAUCUGGUUUAUUAAAUGCUUUACAUAAUUAAUACCAACAGUAGUGACCAAAUAUCUAUUAUCUAUUCAACUGGAAUUAGCCAUCUUCACAGUGCCGAGGCUUGAUCUACAUUGAGGCCCAUGUCUAUAUAAGCAUUUACAUUACAGAACAUAUAUGACCAGCUCUUUCUUUCUUUUAUUGUGCUCCUUCCAUACAUUUCUUUUCUAUUCUAAUUUUGAACUGUAAGUCUGUAACUAAUAUUCACUUAACAUGGACAAGCAUUGGAGACAUUACCACGUGCGGGUCAUUGAAUCUUGUUCAGUACAGCAUGAGGAAUCCUGAUCUAAAUAAAGUAAUUAUAAUAUUGUCUACUUCAAUCUUCCUCUACAUUGAAGUUUCAGUUUCCAUGAUCCUCUUCAAUUGCAGAAUUUUGAUUUCAAAAAAAUUGAACCACUCUUGAAAUGCUGCAGUUUGAGACAGCGCGCAUUGAGGUGUAUAAAUUGACUUUAUAGUUUAUUUACAGUACAGCUCAAGCAGCAAAAUACAAAAGUUUGAAGCAAAAAAUUAUAAUUGAACAACAGUUUCCAAAAACCAAAGAUCGCAUAACCUGAGCACUCUGCUUUUAAACUUUCAUAUUGGCAUAGAUAAUGAGUUGAAGUUCCUUCACACAUUCCGUCAUCGAUGGUCUCCCGCUACUCUCAAAACAGACACAGCGAGACGCGAGAUUUGCAAACAUUGUAAUAGACUCCAUGGUGUACGAGUUUUUAGACAUCUCAGCGUCAACCACCUUACGCAGCUUUUUUCGGUCAUUGAGUAUUUGAUGAACCUGAGAUCGAUGAAACAGUUUCCUUAUUACUGUACAGAAACUGGCAUCUACUCUCUAGAAAAUUUCAUUACCGUACCUUUAAUAUGAGAUUUUGAUCUGUAGGACCCUGGCUUAACUCUAUCGCUCUACGGCCAGUUAACAAUUCCAGCAAAACCACGCCAAAUGCAUAGACGUCACUUUGUAGUGUUAGUUUCCCUGUCUGUAACACAACAGUAAAGAAUGUAAAGAAACCGAUAUUAGAUAAUUACAAGUAACAAUGAGCUGUCGGAAACUUUAGAAAUAAAGAAACUAAGAAAAGCUAGACAUUAAUUGUAGCUCCAGUUUGAAGGAUUUUACGCAGGUAAAAUCAUGGCAUUAAAAUGCUUCGUCUAUUGGCAGAAUUUAUAGAAAAAUCAAGAUUAGGUGGCUAAUCAAAGAAUAUAACUGCUUUGAUGGUGGUAUGGAAUUGUUUGGCACUAGCCAGGAUAGUUUAGUAUCGGAAAGGAAUGAGAAGCGUACCAAUGCAUACUCAGGAUCAAAGUAGCCGAAAGUACCUAAAACUCUCGUUGUUGAGUAUAAGUCGGCACCCUCCGGCAUUAACUUGGCGAGGCCAAAAUCAGAUAUCUGAGGGGUUUUGAUUCCAUUACUAGUACACCAAGCAAUUUAUAGAAUAUAUUUGAUAAUAUUCGUUACCGGUAGAAACUCUACUCUACAUUACCUUGGCCUCAAAGAACUCACUGAGGAGAAUAUUGCUGGAUUUGAAAUCCCUAUGGACAAUGGGGACACCAACAGCCGGACUCAAAUGGAGAUAAGCAAGACCCCUUGCGGCUCCAAGUGCUAUUUUUAAUCUCAAUGGCCAAUCCAUCCUCACUUCACUGAUUCCUGAAAUGCCAAUCAAGGUUGGGGGGGAAGAAGUUAAAAAAAAAAAGAUAAAGAAAAAAGGGUAUGAGACGAAGAAAUGAUGUUCAUACACCUUGAAUUAAAUAGACAAUAGGUUACCAUGCGAAACUAACCAUUUAGAAGAUCUUGCAGGUUUCCCUUCGGCAUAAACUCAUAUACUAAAAACCUAUGCUUCCCAUCGGCACAGUAUCCAAUUAGUGUGACCAGAUUUGGAUGGUCUAAUCUGCUCAGAAUGUCCACUUCAACUCGGAACUCGCGUUCGCCGUCAGCUUGUUUAGAAGGUGAUAGAUCCAUUUUCUUGAUUGCAACAACCUUAAAAUCGCCAAAGAAAAAUAAUAAUAAGUUUCUGAAAAAAAAUGGAAUAAAACUAGUUCAGAAGUCAACAUAUCUUUAUGGUAGGCAUAUCUGAGAUUACACCUAAUUGCUGGCCACUUGAUUAGUAAUGUAUUUGCUGAAAAUAUGACAGUAGAACCGAAUUUCUUCGAAAUUUAAAGCCAGGUUAGAGAAUUUAUGCACAGUUUAUUGCCGUAUUCAUAUUCCAUCUAAUUAACAAUUCAUUUUCAGAUUGUUGUGCCAUUUACUUACUGUCGAUCAGAUUCCAAAUUCGGUAAAUAACACAGUGCAUCAAACACGACAUAGUUACGGUUCGAUACGACAUCCAUUAUAAUUUACUUACAGACCUCACCAUUCCUUAAAACUCCCUUGUACACCCGACCGAACCCUCCUUUCCCGAUCAGGUUCGCGUCGCUAAAAGCACUAGUCGCCUCCUCCAUUUCCUUGAGAGUGAACACCGACGAGCAAUUACGCUUCUUCGGAGCGGGGCACUGAUCUUUCAGCUGCCAAAGCUCCGCCGGCUUAUAGAUCCCUGCCGCAAUGGUUAACUAAAAGCCUCAAAUUUGACCACUCCAACCAAUAAAUUCCCCACAAAUUCAGUGUUAUACCACUUACAUGGAUUGAUAUGAUCGAGUGACUUGCUUCUCCUCCUCUUGUUCCAUGAUGUAACAAUAUUGAAAGGCAUGUUGGGCCUUCAAUUACGCCAGUGUGAAAUGCAACUGCACAUUUACAAACACAUAAUAUAACCAUAGAACACAACAGGGCAUCAAUAAACAUGGGCAAUUGAAGAACUAAAACAUGGCCCAAGAAUCAUCUAAAAAAAUUAAGAAACCGACCUGAUAUUAGAACGAAACAAACGGAGGAGUAAUUGAUUUUCAGCAGGUCAUGGAACACACGGUUUCUUUUAAGAGCUGCAGCAGAGGAAGAGAACCCAUUAGAACGAAAAGCAAAUAAUAGAAGUAGAGGGAGCAUGAAAGAGACGGGGUAAUACUAGGAAAGGGGGUCUCUUCGGAGCUACGAAUGAAGCUAUGGUGCAAUUUUUUAGAGAUUACCCACCAAACUCGUGUCCCAACCACCUACUAUUUUGCAAAAGAGUAAAGGAGGGAGAAGGAGAGGAGGAAGGAAAGCAUAAUGUAAAAGGAAAGCAGAGUACUUGAAGACCAAGAAAAGCAGAGAGAUUGAGAGAGAGGGAGAGGAGAAGGGGUUUGGGGUUGUAGAGAGAGAGAGAGAGAGAGAGAGAAGUUGAAGGCGAUGGGCGCGAGAGAACCGUUGUGAGGAAGCUUUCGUUCCCUUCUUUUUCGCAAAUCGCAACCUCCGCAUUUGUAUUUUCUUUUUCUUUAUUUUAAUUAAUAAAAAAAUUAUAACGUGUUUGAUGUUGUUACUUUAAAAAUCCCUCUAAAGCACAACCUUUUGUUUGUUGGCCUCUCUGAUUUUUUCAAAUUAAAUAAGGUCUUUAGAAUCUUUGGCUGAAUAAAGCAGUACAUUGAAUCAAGUUUGCUAAAGAUCGGUAGAUCAUAUGGCGGGACAUUUAUAACGGUUUGCUUGAAAGUCUCUUUUGGGCCAUCUUGUGAUCCUGUUUUUAAGUUCUUGUUAACAGUGAUCAGGGAGCAGAUAUUAGCAGAUCUGUGGAUGACUGAGAUAAAGCAAAGCACACCGAUUCUCUUAUGUCAUGGCACUUUUGUCACCCAUAAACCAAUAUAAAUUUCAGUUUCAGGAAGAGAAAUAAUUUUGAAUCUUAUGCCAUAUGGCAUCAGUUAGGAAUCUAAGCUAGCCAAUUUAAAAAUAUUUUAGACAUCUUUAGUAGAUGUCUAAUACUAUAUUGGAAUUCUGGGUAGUUCUCCCACUGCUGAAUUUCGUAUUCCACAUAUUAGUUGAGACGUUAAACAAUAUUGUUACAUUAACUCUUUACCGAACACCGAAGAAAAAAAUAUAUCAAAUGAGAAGCUUUCAAAGAGAAGUUAACUAGUCUAUUUUCGAUGUGUGUUCUGUUUCAAACCACCUAGUUUUUUAAGCCUGAGGUUCAAUUCUCAGCUUAUCCACUUACAGCUAGGACCUAGCUCACUUGUUUGUAAUUGCACAAAACUUAGGCACUAACCGUGAUUAAUAUAUUUGAAAACACGCUCUCCUCUAUUUCCUAUUUAUUUCAAGCGUCGAUUAGUUCAUGCAUAGAAUCCAAAAUAUUGUAAAUUUGUCACCACAUCAAUAACAUGUAAGGAACCCGGCCUACGCUCCAAUUUAUUUUAUUUUAUUAUCGAAAAUAUAGGAGACUUUUCAAUCGGGGAACCAGAGCAUUUAAACUUGAGUUAGGAAAUAUAAAAGUUAAAAUUCCCUUUAAUAGAAAAUCAGCAACCUCCAUUCAUUUUUCCUGAUCUCUGUUCGAAUGUGCAUAUCUUCUCUAAUCUCAAAUGUCGGUGUUCUAUAGGUACUCGUUGCAAAUAAUGUUAAUCUAAGUCAAUUACAAUGUUAAUACUUAUGAUCCAAAUCACAUUCAACUCAGUCUGCAUGUAACAUACAUAAGCAAUCAUACUAGUACAUCAGUAACUUUUUCAUAAAAUUUUUAGUAAUCUCUAUAGACGUACAAAAAGAUAGAAGUUUAAAUGUGCAUCCAUGAAGAGGACAUGUUCAUUCAACGAUCUGGGAAAUUUAACAUAUUCUACUGGAGCUAUUUCAAAAACUUUCAGUUCAUUUUUCAAAGUUCCCUUCUCCCAUACACUUUAAAGAGAAAAAAAGUCUCUCUCUCAAAAACAAAUCGAGUCCCCUACUCUGGUGCAGUAGUACCAACUACCAAUUCGACUCCAUAAAUAUCCAUCUUAAUUUUCCUGCAAUGGAUGUUGAUUAAAAGAAUGAGACGAAAAAGAUAGAUGAGCAGUGCACUGUAACUACGCCAAUAAUUAGCUUAAUCAAGGUCGACAUCUCAUGUGCGUUUAGAAGCAUAUUAUAGCAAUUCAUUUGCUACCAUAUACAUUUCUCAAAAGCAUCUACUCAAAUGUUCAUGCUGUGGACCCAGUGGUGUACUCUUACAUGCAAAUAUUUUAGAUUACCGUUGCACCGACGUGAUAAUAAUGGUGAGAGGUCGCAGUAGGUGGUAGUAGAUGAAACUUUUAAUGAGAAAUGCAGAGGAUUGAAGCCCACAUCUCUGAACAAGCACUAUAUAUUCUGAGCUCUCCUUUGCUGAUUCAUAUCACAUUGUAUAAAAGAUGGCUUCUAAGGUUGAUGUGCAAGUUGAGGUGAAAUCCCCUGCAGAUAAGUUCUGGGGAGCCAUAAGGGACUCCACUGAUCUCUUCCCCAAGGUAUUCCCCAGUCAAUACAAGAGCAUCGAGAUUGCCGAGGGCGACGGAAAGAGUCCCGGCACGAUCCGGAUCGUCAAGUAUGCCGAAGGUAAAAUGCUUCGAUAACAUUAAUCUUUUUUAUUCGAAGUAUAUAACUUCUUCUGUAGUAAGUACUGUCCGAAUAGAACUGCUUGAAAUUAGACUUUCUACUUUUCGAGUAGUAAUGUAAAUAAACUGUGCUUCAUAAUGCAGGAGUUCCGUUAGUUACAUUCUCGAAGGAAAAGGUCGAGGUGGCCGACGACGCGAAUAAGCUGGUUUCGUACAGUGUGAUAGACGGAGAGAUGGUGAACCUGUACAAGACCUUCAAGCCCACUCUCCAGGUUAUUCCGAACGGGGACGGCAGCUUGGUGAAUUGGUCCCUCGAGUUCGAGAAGGUGAAUGCGGAGGUCCCCGAGCCCGAUCUCAUCCUUGAGACUGCGGCGGAGACCUUCAAGGAUCUGGACGAGUACCUUCUUAAGAAUUAGGGCUAUCAGAAGAAGAACCACCAGUACGGGAGAAUAACGCCGGUUGUCGCAAUGAUUGCUUUAUGAAUGUUAUUGUACUUCAUGCAUGGAUCAUGUCCUUAUGUUAUUAAUGAUCAUCCUUCUUUACUAGCUAUGUGCAUGGCUAAGGUAUAAAUAAAUCACUGAUAAAGUAACUGAUGAUAUUAGUAAAAGGACUUAGAUUCAAUAGAUAAAACCAUAUUGACUAAUUAAAAUUUACAACAUUAUAUAUAACUUUUUUUUUAAAAAAAUAGCAUACUGUCCACUUCAUUUAUUGAAAAGAAUCAACUUAGACACAAAACUGAGACGGCUGAGACCUCUAUAAGAGCAACCAAAAGAUGUUUAUAAAAAAACAUAAAGAAAAUUAAAGAAAAAAAAAAUCAAACACAAAAACAAUCCACAACAGAAGAGUCCUUAAUGACGGCAAAAUUACUUCUGUAUCGGACUAAACUAGAGACUUCUCAAAGAAUAGUCUCUAGCUCAGAAUAGCGAUUUUUAAAUAUCACAUUAUUUCUUUCCAAUCAAAACUCCAACCAAGCAAAUGCAGUUUUGUUUUAGCCAAAAAGAUAAAAAGUUGAUAAUAAAAUAAAAACACCGAGAGCUUUGAAAACUCUUAAUUAUAUUAUCCAAAUAAUUGAUCCAUUAGAAAACAGUUUUGAAAAUAUAGUUAAUAAUCUCCAUUCAUUUUUUUUUGGGUGGACAACUCCAUCCAUUUAUUACAAAUUUUAAGUCAAACCAGCCAACUGUUUUCCUUCAACGGGCAAUAAAUUUGGCUUUAUAAAAAGCUUCAAAAUGUAAGAAGUAAAUUGACUGGUCAACGGAUGACGUGACGAACCAUGAUGACGUGGCGGACCAGGUUUAGGCAGUAACUUCCACGCUGGGUCCAAAAUUCGGAUUCUUGAAACCGACCACCUCCGUAAUACCCUGCACUCUUCUCCCGCCUUUUGGUUUCUCAGCAUAAUCCCAUUCCAAACUCUCUCUCUCUCUCUCUCUCUCUCUCUCUGUUUCUCUCUCUUCCCGAAUACCUCCAUUAAUGGAGGGCGCUCAUGUCCUCUCGCUCUCCGACCUCCUCCGCGCCUCUCGUCCUCUCACCGGCGCCUCCUCCCUCGUCUCUGUUCCCACCUCGCCACGCCCACCCCCUACGAAAAGAUCCAGAGUCGAAACCCUAAACCUCGAUCACACUACAAACCCUCUCCUGUUCUCCGAUCUAAGCCCUAAUCCUAACCCUAACCCUAACGCCUUCUUACCGAUCAAGCGCCCCGUGCUACUCAUCGGCACCGUGGAUUUGCUUCCUCCCGACUCCGAUAGGUGCAGAGGGUGCGAGAACCAUUGUCUCUCGUUCUCCGGUGGGUCCUCUAGGGUUUGCUGCUACGUUCUUGACUUUGAUCCCGAGAUCCUCCGCAGGGAGAUCGCCGUACUCGCUUGGAAUUUUCUCCCUUUCGAUCGAGAAACGGGCGUAGGCGGUGGCGGCGGAGUAUUGGAAGUGAUUAGGUGGCGCUUUACGGGGCCGGCAACGGCCUUUGAUGGAGGCUUCUUGCUCUCGGCUCUGUCGAUCGGUUCGCAUCAAGAAACCAACUCGGUUGUUCGGUCUCGUAAGAUUGGUGUUGUAAGAUCGAUCAGCCUUGUCUUUAAGGUCCCUUAUGCGACACAACAUGACGGAGGGGACUCUGUUGGAUUUCUUGCUGAGAUUUUAUCAUGUGAAUGUGAUUCUUGUAGCAGUGCUUUAAUGAGACAAGGUACUGAUAACUGUUUUGUAGGAGGAAACGAUGUACAUAAAUUUACCAAGCCAGUAUUUGUAUAUUUCCUCAAUCCGUUGUAUACCUGGCGCCCUGUUCUUUCUAAGAUGAUUGGGAAAUUAGUAGUGCUCUCAGGAUUGAAAAAAAAGUUGGUUUUUGUUGGAGAGGAAUCGUACACAAUGUUUGUCUCAACAGGGAGAACCACAUUGUCUUUGCGUGGGUUGUCUACAGGAACUCUACCUUCAGGUGGAAUGACGGCAAAAGACGGAGAGUGUAAUAACAGUGUGUAUAGCGGGACCAUUACUGGGAUUUACAUGCAGGGUAUGGUGGUGGAGUUGGAUCAGAAGGUGUUUCUUUUAAUUAAUGAUCCGCAGCUUGCACCGCAUCAUUCUUUUAGAUCUGGUGCUAUUGUAUGUGAUCUCUUCUUCUUAAACUCAAUGAAUAGUUCUUUUAACUUUUUGUACAUUUACCUACCUUCGGAUUGUUUCUUUGCAGGUUUCUGUCAGGAAUUUUCAUUUAGUUCGACCAAAUUUUGCUUCGAUCAAGAUGGUUUUACUUUGUACAUGUGUUAAAACCAAUAUUGAUGUCGAGUCCUUUUCACUUAUUGAGACCAAGUAAAAAACUAUUAUUUUAAAUUCUUGUUAUUUCAAAAUUUGUUGGGACCUGCUUGUAUUAGGAUUUUUUUUUUUUUUUGAUAUGGCUUCUAUCACUGUUGCAGAUGCCAUUUAAAGAUUCAGAGUAAGAGCCUACUGGGGAAGUUUAUUAAUUCGUUGACAUUUUCUGCUAGAUUUUGGUACGGACAAUUUGCACAGAUUUUGUCAAGUAAUUUCUUUAUUAUUACAUGAAACUAAAUGUUUUAUUAGUAUAUGGUGAUUGAAUUACUAUUAAUUAUUGAAUGCCAGGGUAUUACUUCUGGUCUCUUCCUUUAAGCAGAAAUUUCAAAGUGUUUGCUCAGAAAUGGAAAUCCUGGGCUCAAAUAAUGUAAGUUGCUAUUUUACAUAGGGGCAUGGAAUAUUCUUUUCCUGUUACCAAGCAGCUGCUAUUUUAUUAUGUUAUCCUGGAGUAUUAGCUUAUUGAGUUAACUUGCCCUCUAUCAAGCUUUUAUAGCUGACAAUCUAUGUUUGCAAGGUGCCAACAGAAGGAAGGACUGGUUCAAACCUAUGCUAGUAGAUGGUUGUCUCCAAAUGACUACCAACCUAAGGUGAAUUAUUUACUUUUAAUAAGGAUAUGGCUUUUCUUUGAUUCCUUUUGAUAUAUACAUAUACUAGCCACAGUGGAGGUGAGAUCUAGUUUAUACAACAUGACAUGAAGGCCUGAAUCAGGGAUUUCAUCUCUAUUAAUUGCUUUUCCUGUGGUACUGCGAUUUUCGAAGUAAUUUUGUUAGUUAACUAGCCUCUUGUGUUGCUUGCGUUUUUUAAUAUUCUUCUGAUCUCCUAAAAUGUUUCUUGUAAUUGUGUGCUUGCUCCUGGGGUUCUCAUUCUGAAUUUUUUGGUAACAGCAUGGGAUUUUUAUGGAAUUCUGCAAACAUGAUUCAUGUAUGUAUAAUUCAGAAUCGGAUUUGAAGUCGCUUAAAUUGGUAAGAUCUCAUCUUGAGAACGGCCUUUAAGUGAAUUAAGGAAUCUUGAACUUCUUUUUUUAAAGUCAGAAUCUUUUUUUUUUUUGAUCAGGUAAUACCCCUCUCUAAUCUUAUCAGCAAAUGUGAAGAAAUAUGGGUGUCAUUUAUAUUAAAGAGACAGAAAGAUGCUGAAAAGGGUGGGCUGAGGCACAAUUUGAGCCAUUUCAUUCAUGAAGGAACAUCAUGUCGUCGGUUUAUUAGAAGAAUAAUACCAAGUGAAGACCUGGGCUUUAUUUUACUGGGAAGUAUCAAGGUUAGCUUGAUGCAUGAGUUAGCUAUUAUAAGCUUUUACUUUCUAGAUUUGUGGAUUUUUCUUGUUUAGUACUGUGUCUGGUCGUCAUGCAUAUGUAACUUCCACAUUCUUCUGCACAAGUUAGGUGGACCUGAAAAGUGCUUUUACUUUUGAUUAGUUUUUUAGCAGUUAUUUCAUCUGUCACAUGCUUAUUGAUAGCAGAUAUAAUAAAACUAGAAUCUUGACAGAUAUUAGGUGUUUUCUUUCUCUUUCUUAUAAAUUUCUUUGCUACCCUAUUGGGUUUGUGUUAUACAUAUAGCUAAUUAAGUUAGAGAUUGUAGUUCUAUGAGCCACACAGGUACAUAGAAGAUCGUAAAUGGUGGAGAAUAUGUUAUACCUAUUGAAUGAGCUCAUUCUGGUGGGGCAUGUACUCCAUUUUUGUUAGAAAUGUGCUAUCAAAGUUGAUAACCGAAAUAGUUCCAGCAUAAACACGCAUAGGCUUUUGUUUUUGGUUACAAGUAACAUUGCUCUUGCAAAAUGGAGCCACCAUAGUUCUUUUACACCAUUUCAAAAGCUUCUUUCUGAUAAAUUAGUUUGUAGUGUCAUUUUGCACAAAUAUGUUAUAAUCUUAUUGGUUCCUUUUAUAAUUUCAAAUUUAAGAUCAUUGCUCCAGCAUAUGUAAGGUUCACCUGAGUACAGUUUCUGGCUUGACUUUUUACACUUAAUAUGCCUAUAUGCGCUAAACUAUGAAAUUUGAUAAUUUCAAUUUUGUGCAUUCAGACUUCUUCACCUUCAGGAAGGUUACAAUUGGUUGAUGCUACGGGAAAUAUAGACGUUGUUAUACCAGACCUGGUAUCAAAUGUCAAUUGCCAUAACAUUUAUGAGGUGAUGUAUGGUUGCUGAUAUUGCAUGUUUCCUUUCCAUAUUUGAAGAUUUUGCUGUUUGGCCAACUGCCACUUUAUAUAGUUAAAUUAGUCCAUCAAGUUACUGCCUUUUUCAUGUCCAUAGUCAUCCUCCUUGUCAUACAUAGGUUUUUUUUGAAGUUUUGAUCGUAGAUAUAUUGUAGUUUAACUAUUUUGUGAUAUAUUAUAUGCAUUAAUCAAGAGUGAAGGGCACUUUAGCAUAAACUUAUCCAAUAUCCAUUCACUUUACGGUAGCCGAAUACCUUUUUUGGAAGGUUCCACAGCUGCACAGAAACUCUCCAAAGUGUUAUUUGCCUGCUUGCUAGGUGUUCCUUUCAGCUAGUUGUUGCUUAUCCACAUUUCUGCCUGCUCUUGCUUUAAGUGACUAAUUUCCUGGCAUACUUAAUUAUAUGCACUAUAAAAUUUAUCACACCCUAUUGACUUUCUUAUGAGGCAACUGGCGAUAGGACAUUGUAUGUUUGAGAUGUUGAAUUUGAUUAACUGGUUAGCUAAUUACCCAGUCUGUAUGAGUUUCUACAAUUUUUUUUUGAAUCAAACAAGUGAGAAACUUCAUUUUUGCAGUGCUAAAAAUAAUCAAGUAUUGUAGUGUAGAAAAAAAACUGGUCUUGUUGCGUUAGUCACUAGUCUCUACUAUUGGAUAUUAGAAUGUUAAAGAACAAAAACAACCUAUUGAUAUUGCUGAUUCAUAUGCUCGCCGUGUAGAUUUCAAAAGAUGCAUAACAAUUUCAAUAAGAUUAUAUGCAGCAACAGUGUCCAUAUUUUGAAAUGAAUAUCUCUUUUCGUUUAGAUGAGGAAUUGUCUCCCUACUUCCAGAUAUAGGUGCCUUUUGUGAAAUUUUUUUAAUUAAAGAAUUAUCAAGUUCUUAGUUCUUACCAUACUUGCUUGUGUUGAUUGGCAAAUUUUUUUUUUCUGUUCAGAUUAGAGAAUACAAGCUUGUUCUUGAAGGUUCACCAACUCAACUAGAUAAUCAGCAAUAUGAUUUUGGCCCGCUGCUUACCUGCAGGGCUAUAUUCCAACAGUUCUCUUGCAGAAAAAGAUUAAAUAACAUUACGAUGUACGUCCACUUCAAUCUCAGGGACUCAAAUUGUCUCCAUGUUUCCUCCUGUGCCCCUUCUCAUGAGGUUGCUUGUGUUGGAUUGUUUCAUCUGCUGCUCGUAAAACAUAAAUUUCCUUCAACCGAUAAUGUAUGGUUCCUAAAAUUUUCUUAAUCUUCACAUUGCCUUGACAUUUUAUACGUUUCUUUGUUUUUCUUUUCCUUCUUUUUUGCUUUGAUUGUUUACCUUUCAUGUUGUGUAGUUUCCAGAUGAUCCAAAAAUGUGGAACUGCUCUAGUUUGUUUGCUGAGGCUUUGGUCUUGCCUUAUAAUCUCAAUUUUCCAGAGAAAAGUGGAAAUAUCCAACCAACAGAGAUUGUUCAAGAUAUGCUAGAUGCACAGAAAUUUGUCCAUGUAUUGAGUAGAAUUACAACUACUGGCUCAGCCAGUAACCUUAGGGCAUCUGAAAGGAAAUUUUGUCAUAAUCCUUGUUCUUUUUCCUUCAGAAGUGCCAGUCUUCAUGGGACACUGAUGCCUGCCCGUGUACAUAGAUCAGAUGGCAAUUGUUUUAAGGAUUCAGUUGAUGGCCAACAUAAUAUGAGGAUUCUGCUAGAAUUUAAGGCUGAUAGCUUUAUCUACUACCAGGUGGGCUUAGGUGCACUAUAUUGUCAACUUUAUUGCUAUUACGUAGUGAUGUAACCUUUCUUUACAUUGCCCAAAUUCUUUGAUGUUUCUAUGUUUCUCUUAGUUUGUCUUUAUUUAUCUUGUUCUCCUUGCCAGUUGCUGCGGAUAGGUGGAUAUUAUCUUCUAAAAUGUUCGAGCGAUGGCCUUACAUGUAAUCUGAAAGGCUGUGAAUGUUUUGCGUGUGGUAAAACUUGUAUUGACUCUCAAAAUACUCUUCGGAGUGUUUCAAUCAUAUUUAAUGGUUGUAACAAUCAUAAAGGGUCUCGUGAAGAACACACUUCUGAAGUUUCUUCAGGGAGAGCUGGUGAACCAAGGAGCCACUAUGCAACUGAGCUACUACUAUCGAGCCCUUUGGAACAUUUUCAUGAAACUUCAGAUUUUCAUCUGGAUUUAUUGAAUGAAGAGCAUCUGUUAGGGAUUCUUCCUCGUCCAAGUGAGGUGUUAAGUGUAUCGUCAUGCAUUCGUAUGAUGACCGCUGAGUUUAGGACUACUGGGAUUAGUGAUUUGCAAGGCCACUGGUUGCCCCAAGGAGAUCUAGUCUCUUUAAAUGGAAAUAUAGAAGAUGUUCAUUUAAAUGAUUGCAAAUCUACAUCUUUUGUGAGCUUUAGAUUUCUGACUGGUAGUGACCAAAGAAGAAUCUCUAGUGUCUGCAUUCAUGUGGCAGAUGAUACUUGCGUGGUAACUCUUUUUUAGUGUUUAUUUCUUGUGGUCUAUCGUUACUAUUGAGAAACUAUUCCUCACUACAUAAUAUUUGUCUUACAGGUGCAAAUUUCUGGUCAUUUGAGCAUGCGUGCCUGUCCUGUUGGAUUUAGACCAGGAGUAAAAGCAACAUUCCACCGGGUAUUGAUGAUGUGGUAUGGCUCAUUUCUUUUCUAUGAUGUAUAUCAACUUAGCUUCUUUAUAACUUAUACUGUACUCAAAAACUGAAAAUUUUCAAUUGUGUUGCAUCCAAAAAUAUGUAUGGUUAUCAUGUCGGUAGAAUAGGACCUUGGUUCAUAGUAUAGGAUCUUUUUUCUGUUGUUAUUUUGUUUCAUACUUUCAUAUCAUAAUAUUGUUUUCAUGUGCUUCACUGGUUUGCUUGACAUGUUGCUAAUAUAUAGGGCAUAAAGAUUUGCGAGUACAUUGUUAUGGUUAAACUUCUGAGCACAAUUAACUGUUGACUUCUUACACUAUUAGUAUUGUCGUCAUUGUCAUUUGCACCAUUAGUUUGUAAUUCUUGUUUCAUUAUGAGGUUUGGAUUUUCCAUUUGAUGAAGUUCUUGUUUCAGUUGGAGGUUGGAUUUUGCAUUUGAUGAAGUUUUCUCUUUCCCAACUGGCAAUCCGCUUGCAUUAGAGGUUGGGUUUUUGAUACCUUACUUAGUUAAUUCGCGAUUAACAUGCGAAUUAUUCGCGAAUUUUUGAAGAUACGAAUUAAACGGCCGUUUCCGUAUUUUUUUGAAAAAUUCAAAAAAAAAACACCUUUUUUUCGUCAAAAAUAAUUAUUCGCGAAUUAUUCGCAAUUUGCGAAUGAUUCGCCCGAAAAAAACGGCGCUCGCGGUUGCAGACUCGCGGCUGAGGGUCGCAUCGUCGCCGAACUCGUUCGUGUCGUCGUCGUCGUCCUUCUCCGCCGCCUUGGCUGGCGCUGGGAGCAAGAAGGCUGUAGCAGCGGAUCCCGUCUCGCCCGAGGCCGUCCGCGGAAACCAUGUGGAAGUGGAACAGUGAAAAAGGCGCAGCUUUGGGAGGCAUGGAUCGCGCGCGGUCGACGAGGCCACUUCAGCCUUGUGGACCGCUUGAGAGGGAGGUCCACGGUGGACCUCCCUCUCAUUAUAUAUAUAUAUAUAUUCGUAUAUUAGUAGAGAGAGAGAAGAUAGAGAGAGGAGAGAGAGGAGAAGGACGAGGAUGAGGAGACGAGGAGAGAGAGUAGGCUACUAUACUCUUAUAAGUAUGGCCUUUUACUCGUAGUUUUUCGAUGAUGGCUUCUGUCGAACGAUCCACUCCGUUAAAUAUGAUCUACAGUAUUUGAAACUUCUAGAAAAUAAAAUUCGGAAUUUCAAAAUCAAUAAUAAUUCAUCAAGCGGGUAAUAAAAUGAACGGUCAAAUCGAACGACGUCCUAAAAAUGGAUGAUCAGAUCCUUCAAUUUAUAGAUCGAGUUAUUGAUCUUAUCCUAGGUAAGUGAAUAAUAAUUUUCUAUCAAAAAGUUCAACCUAUUCGAUUCUUUUACAACCGUAACUACAGCGUACUCAUAUCGGCCGUUAAAAAGUUUCAUUUGUGAGCUUUUGAUCGUUAGUAAAUAUAUCGAAAAAUUAUAAAUUUUGAUUUCUCUAGAAUUUUAAUGCUCAAUAAUAUGUUUAACGUAUGGAUCGUCGAUUCGGAAGCUCUAUCAUCGAAAAAUAACUUUAUGAUACGAAGGCGAUCGUACUCAUAAGAGUAUAGUAGCCGGACUCUAUAUAUAUAAUAUAUAUAUAUAUAUAAAUAAUUAUAUAUAUAUAAAAUUUUAUUUAUAAAUAUAUAUUCAUUUAUUAUAUAUAGUAUUUUAUUUUUAUAUAGAAAUAUUAUUAUAUAGCCGAAUUUUUUAUUCCGAAUUUUUAAUUGGUGAACGUAUAAUAUCUGUAUAAAUCACGUGUCCGAAUAAUUACCGAAUCCGUUUUUUAGCCGUAUUUUUCAAUGAAUUUUAAAAUUAAAAGACGAAUUUUAUCCGAAUUAUAUCCGUACCGAAUUUUUGCUGAAUCCGAAUUAACUAACUAUGUUUGACGCUGGCACAUUGGCUUAUUGAAGCAGGACAAUCUAAGUGAUAUUUCUUUUCUUAGAUUUUUGUUAAUCCAAAGUAAUUGACCUCUGCAAUAUACAAUCUAGAUGGUUGUCUGCAAGCAGAAAUUCGCUGUAUGAUGGUGUGCUUUAAUAAAAUAAAAUGAAUUAUUGCAAGCUUCAAGUUUUUCGUGAGAAUAUACAUCUUAAUGAGCUGUUGUAUUAAAGUGCUGUUUAUCUCAAUUUGCCGAAAGCAAGAGAAGACUUUACAGAUAAUUUACCGCAAACUAUCAAACAAUUAUAAUGUCAGUUAACAGAUAAUCAAGUGCUGAUUAUUCUUGGCAUCCUAAAUUUGUGGAAAAUUUUCGGUGAGUUGUUAAAUGGCGCUAUAAGCUUUGGUGUUGGUAUACUUGUAGCAUCUGUCCUCAUGUCUUUGAAUAUUUCUCUGUUGUUUUGCUGUGGACGUUAAGCUUUUUCAACUCUCACAACAUGCCUUCUUUUCCAUUUUACUAAUGUUUCCUGAUUUAAAUAACAUGAUUUGCAAUGCUCUAAUUUAACUUAAUUGCAGCUCUUCUAGUGGAAGACAUGCAUUGUUAUUUACCCCGGUAACUUUUAUUGAAAUUAACUCCAUCAGAGAAGUUGUUGACGAGCAGAGUGAAGAACGGAUGGUACUGCCUACCAGGUUAACUUUUCCAACUGAGCAUUUAUCUGACACAAUUCCGUUAGGUCUCUUCUUGCAGCUAGUGAGAUCAAUGGACAGCAAGCUUACUAAGGUCCGCUGCAGGGUAAGAAGUUCUCUAAUGUUGCCUUUUUUAAGUUAAUUUAUUUGAAUUACCUUCUACUGUUGUGAUUCUUGCUCAUGUGCAUCAAGUCAUGGUUUCUUGGAAAAUAACUUCAUCUACUUUUCGUUCUUAUUCUUUUUGAACCUCUGCUACAGGUUGUGACUACCCAAUUUUUGGUGCUUGAACAUUGUGGUCAUGAUUCCAUGAAUUCAGAACAAUGCAGAUUGUGUAGUAUUCCAAAAGUUAAUAUUCCAAUAGCUGGAUUUGUUAUGGGUAAGAUACAAAUUUAAUUUCUGAAGUUUACAUUUGACUGGAAAGGGUAGGCAUGUAGGCGUGCUUAUACAUUGGGUAGUUUGUGGGUCAUAGAAUUGUUGCAGUUACUUGCUUCUUGGAUGGUACACGUUUUAUAUGAUUAAAGUUCUUAGAGAAGGCUUUUCAAUUUUCUCAUUCUCCUUUUUUUCUUUCUUCUCUGCUUAAUUAUGCCGUACACCACUGUAUACCGCUUUUGUCCAAUCACUACACUAUUCUAUUUUGGUCUCCAGUUACUGUAGUUAUUAAGAUGCGACAAAGGACUGCUAUGUUUACAUCCGUUAACUUGCCAUGGAUGGAAGGCAAAACACCUCUUGUGACCAUUUCAUUGAGCAUUUUACAGGAAUCUCGGCUUUGUCUUCCCCCAGCCAGCUCCAUUUGGUCUGUCUACCUUCCUCUCCUCUAUUGCCAGAUUGUUGCUGUUGGUGGUGCUCCCAGCCCUUUGACCCAAUUACUUUCGGAAUGUUUCAAGAUUUUUGUAGUUGAUGGUUCUUGUAUUUUGUUUGAGUUGGGUCAAGUUUAUGUUAUCACAAUCAAUUUGUUCAUGUUGAAUCCUCCCUCUAUGUGAACAACUUGCAUCAACCUAAGUUUUAGAAGACAAUCUCUCUAGACCUGAGCCAUUCCUGUUAUCAUUUUGUUUUUAUUUUGUCAACAAAUUGGUAUUCUUACGGCUUUUGUGGUAGCUGAACUUAGCUAUAGAAUUCUGAAAUCAACUUACGAAAGUCUAGAGUGGCACAAUUAUUUAAUAUUUUUUUGUUUCGUUUGCAGAAUUUAAUAAGUUAGCAGCAUUUCAACAUCCAACGCAUAAACAUGUCUAUGCUUAGUUUCCUUUUGGAAGGCUGUGUCAAAACAUAGAAAGUUGAACUGUUGUAAUUUGUUAUUUUAUUUGCCUCAUAAAACUGAUGGUCUAUAAAGGUUUCACAAGAUUUGAUUUGAAAGCUUAAAUGGUAAUUGUCUAAGAAGGUUGAAUGUCGACUGUUAGUUAUCAAUCCCUGGUGCUAUUGGUUAGAAGAUGUACUACAAUUGAUUUUUCUUUUUUCAAUUGCAUAGAUGAUGGAUUGUCGUUGUGUUGUUGCUGGGCUGAUAGAGAUCGUGCUGGAAUGCUACUUAGGCUGCAGGAAAAUGCAAAGUAUGUGUUUAGUGAUGCCAAGGUCUUCAAAGGAGGAGGCAAUACUGGAAACUUACAACAUACAGUCGGUUAUCACUUGCAAAAGAUGCUAAAAAAGCAUGGCAGGGUCAUCGUCAAAAACCAUGGAAUAGCAGCCGAGUUAUCAUGUCAAGAUUUGACAUUUUCUUGUGAUUCAGAUAAACAUUUCAGUAGCUCAGAAGAAAGGCUCCUUAAGUUUAUUAUUCUUAAUGCCUGUCAAGGAUCUGUUUUGGUUAGUUUUCCCCUUCAAUAUCUAUCCCUUUUAUUAUGCAGAUAAAAACUUGAAUUUUGUCUCUACUGCUUGAUAUUUGUUUUGGAUCAGCUUGCUUUAUGUGUCUAGUGCUAGUUUACUAUCUUGAGGACUUUUGGCUGAUUUUGGCCAUUUUUUCUCAGUGAUUGUACUAUUAGUUUAUAGUCCUAUUUUGAGUAAAACUGGAUUGCUGGUUGAAUAUUACUUAGAAUAUAAAUAUAUAUGAGAUUGAGAUUGCUAUUAAGCCACUGGGUUCUUUGAGAAGAUGUGGUUGUCUUUGAGAGAAAGAGAGACUACAACAAGGAACCAGGUAUUUGGCCUACAAUGUUGAUGCUCAUGGAAAUUUGCUAACCAUGAAAAAAAAUUUCUUACAUCUUGGGGCCUUUUUUUUUCCUUCAAAGUUUGUCAUCUAUCAUCCCUUCCUCUACUGUAUUGUUCCUCAUCUUUCUCUGAUUCAAUGUUUGUCUGUUUUUUUUUUUGUGUGUAAUUUUUGUAGUCAGAUAUAGAGAUCUUGCUGCUAUAUUUUCUUAUAUAUCAAUUUUCUAUUUACUCUUCUUAUGCUUCAAGUGCAGAACAUUGUUGGUUCGGCACUGGAUGCUAAUACCUUAAGGUGGUUAGACAAAGAGCUUCUGGAGCUCAGUACUGGCGUGCAGUCUAUGCAUAAUGCAUGGGUUAGUGAAGUUGAAUAUGUGGAUCCUUUGAAAGAAGCUUGGACCAUGCUUCAUAAUCUUGGAAUCAAGUAGCAUCAUCUUUUCCAUAUUUGAGCUGAAAUUCAUCACGGCGAUAAUUAAAUUGAGCAUGUGGUGUACUAAUACAUAGAAGCAGCACACAAAAAAGAAGUUUCAAGAGGUGGCGACAGCUACAACUCUUCAUUUGAACACACUAUCAACUCUUGGCUGGGCCUUAUUUAAAUAUGGGGUAAAAAAAGAUAAUUAGUGUUUUUGGUUGUUUUUCUGAAUCAGCAGUUUUUUUUAUGUUAGUUUACUAAGCAAAUAUGUGAAUUUAGUUUGUAUGUUAAUUAGUUCAUUAUUCUCAUUUUGAUAUGGUAGCAUAAAGUCAAAUCUGAGUACGACCAAAAACAUGCCAAGCUCACCAUAUUCAUGCCGAAGCUCACCAUAUUCAGCAAGGGAAAAAUCUUGAUGUCCACAGUGACGACUCUGAUGUUUGCUUUGCUGAUCAAUGAGCUUUUCUUUUCUUCAUGAUGAAGACUUCGUGAAUAGCAGGUAAAUCAGGUAUGCUUGCGUAUUCUCUUCUUCUUUUUCACUCUCUUUUAUGAAAUAUACCCAUUAUACCAUCGUUUUUCAAAAUGUUGUUUUGAAUCUGCAGUAUGUAGCAUAGAAUAACAUACUCAGGUAACUGGGAAUCUAUUAAUUUUAUAGGAAAAUACGCUGGACCUCCCUGAACUUGUCUAGUUACACUUAGCCGCUCGAUCUUUGGCCUGACAACUGUUGCAUAGGUAAAAAGCAUCAAAAACCCAUGAAUGGUGGUUUCUACUAACUUUUUUUUUUUUGAAAGGAAUGUAUAGGGUAUUGCCUAUACAUUUCAUUGAAUGUAAUAGGAGUUAAAUGUAAAACAAGCAUAAAUUAUAGUUGCUGGGGUUGAGUAGGCCCACAACAAUAAUUGAUCUCCCAAAUUGAACCCCCCAGUUACAAAAAUUUGAACCACAUUAAUGCAUCAUUGUGAGAUUCUCGAGCUAGUUCUUCAGAUAAUCUACACAACCCAUUGAAAAUUCUAUUGAUUAUAAAUACUAUUGAUUUUUUCUGACGGCAAGGGUCAUGGAUUCAAGUACUUUAGAAUCAAUUUUGAGAAAGGGCCCAAAUCCAGUGUAGCCUAGCCUUACUCGGAAAAAAGGGUAUAGAAUAUACCACAUUGAGCUGACAUUUUCUGUAUCCAUAUUUUGCUUUCUGAGAUGGGGUAAAAAAAAUUUCUUACAUGGAAACAAUAUGAAUGUACUCUAAUUAUUCGACUCAUUAAUGCUGAAGAUUCUGGAAUCAGCUUCUUAAAUGUUUCUUUCUUACAUUGCAACAGCAACUUUAUUAUAAUGAUUUGGAACCUUCAGUUCAUUAUAAGAGAUAAGUGUUCAUAAGCCAUCUUAUUUGAGAAUUGAGCAGUUGAGUUGAUUGCAGUAACUUUCAUAACUUUUCGCAUGCCAGUACCCUCUGGUACAUUUCUUGAACAGAAUUUGCUUGGCAAGGACAAAAUUCUUUGCAAUUGCUCUAAAAAAAGUUUCUUAGGUAAAUAUAUUCUGAUGUUAAUUUUUUAUUAAAUUGACAUCACCUUCAGCCAACUGCUUAAUCGGUCUUUGACUGGUGGGAAUAUGUUAAGAUUUGCACUUGCGUAGCUGGCUUCAUCCAUGUGGCGUGAAUAGAAAGUUGCAGUUGAAUUUGUACAUUCAUGUCGUGCAUAUUAAGAUUGUAUCCUUUUUAGAAACUCUCUCUACACUGAUGACUAUUGUACUGAUUCUCAUCAUAAAAGCUAUCAUAAAUUAUAAUUUACAUCGCAGCAUUUAAGAAAAUGGAAAUGCUUUAUUUGUUGGCAGAUAGUGAGAAGCGGACAACUAAUAUGGCUUCCAUAUUUUGUCUGGAAAGCUUAAAGUUUGUGAUCAGAGUAAGCAACACACAUAUUGUGAUUGUUUUGUUUUUAGAGAUAGGUAUCAUGCUACUCGCUUUGUUAUUUUAUUUAGAAAUAAACUUAGCUGGAAAUGUGAAUCAACUAGGAUUCGACCUUGAAUUUCGGGUACCAACCACCGACUUUUUUGCCACUUGCUCUAGAAACGGUCGGUCACAUAUUGUGAUUGUUAGUUACAUAUUUUACUAUCUCUGAUGAAUAUGUAGAAUUGUUGUUUUCUCACUACUGGCCAAUUAUAGUAUCUUGGUUGUACCAAAAAGUCAAAUCUAUAUGCAUCUGCAUAACAAUCAGUACUUCAUUUAAUAAACCCAACCAUUCUAAAAUUAGCGGUCCUACGAAAUUGUCAUGUGUUUAACUGCAGGCCCGUAUAUGAGCUCCUUUUGUUUGAAAAUCUCAUAAACUUUUAUUGAGGGAAAGUUGAUUGCAUUAUGGGACACGUGAAAAAGUACGUAACAAAUAAAGUUUCUUGCAUUUUGCACGCAGCUAUCGACGCUGUUCGUACUGAGCAUCGAGGUCUUUCAAAUCUUGUGCAGUAUCACAGAGGUGGUUGGUCAUAUACUUGAUUUGUAAAGGCACAAUCAUAGCUUUUGUCUUAUGUACAUAAAGAGGAGUCAGGUACAAUUUUCCUUCCUGUGAUAAAACUAUGCAAUAAGAUAGGCAUUUGGUCAACUUUCUCAGCCUUGCACAGGGAUAUCUUUUACUGUAUAAAUUGUAGGAAUUUGAGGGGAACCACAUAACCACUGAUGCUCUCGCGUAGUUCCUGUACCAUCUCAACUUAAUGCUCUUAGUUACUCUUGCUGGUAGUUCUCUUGUUGGUUUUCACAGAAAAACUCAGGAUUUGAGUGCAUAGAAAGAUCGGCAUCAGAAAAUCUUUUACUAAUGGAACUUGCUAUUUAUAGUGAGCGGACUUGAAAUUGCAGUCCAUGUGUUGCCAUUUUUUUUUUGUGAUGAAGUUGUGUCCAAAACUGUCACAGAAAAAACAGACAAAAAAAAAAUAAAAUAUCGAGAGGUGGAGGGCUGAACUGAACAAUGAGAUGUAGGUUGUACUUCAGAAGUACGUGAUGAAGCCUUGAUGGUUUCUGAUUGUGCAAGGUUUUGGUAAUAAAUGAGCAACAUACAGCCUAUAUUUUAUGGUACUACAAAAGUGAGGAUCUGGUCAUGAAGGGACCAUUCACAUUAAGAAAGAUAAUAACGGCCGUCAUCGUCUUAGUUAAUUUAAUUGACAGUUUUGCUUUUGUUUUUUUUGUUUUGAGGGGAAAAAAGACUAUUAGAGAUAGAGUUUGAUUGCAACAGGAUUGGAUGCGGAGGAGAUUUCCAGCACAAUUGUUUGUAACAGUUACAAAGGGCUUCAGUGAAACUCCAGACCUAGUAGUGAAAAAAAAAAAAGAAAAAAAGGUCUUUACACCUAAACAAUUGGGUAGAAGGGAAAGAUAUAAGAAAGCUACGCAUUUAUAGUAACAAAAUAAUCAAGCUCAUAAACAUUAAGCUUAAAAGAAGAAAAACAUGUAAAAAAAAUAUUUAUAGAGAAAAAAAAAAUAUAUAUAUAUAUAUAUAGAGUCCGGCUACUAUGCUAUCGGUAGCACGGAGCGCUCUGUACUACCAAGUUGUUUUCGAUGAUGCGGUUUCCAAAUCGACGAUCGGCUCCGUUAGACUUGAUCUAUACUAUUGAAAGUAUUUAGAAAUUAAAUUUCAAAUUUUUUCGACAUCAUUUGACUAGUGAUCAAAAGAUCUCAAAAUUGACAAUUUUAAUGGCCGAUGUAAGUGUGUUUGUGAGUUUAACGGUGUAAAACAAUCCAAAUGCGAUGAAAAUUUUAUAGAAAAUUCUUUUCACUAUUUAGAGUAAGAUCAGUAUAUCUGAUCUUAAAUUNCGAAAAAUUAUGAAAUUUAGUUUCUAAAUACUUUCAAUAGUGUAGAUUAACUCUAACGGAGCCGAUCAUCGAUUUGGAAGCCACAUCAUCGAAAACAACUUGGAAGCACGGAGCGCUCCGUGCUACCGAUAGUAUAGUAGCCUAGCUCUCUCUCUCUCUCUCUCUCUCUCUCUCUCUCUCUCUCUCUCUCUAUAUAUAUAUAUAUAUAUAUAUAUAUAUAUAGUCCAGUUAUGGUACUUGUAAAAGCACCAAACACUUGGUGCUUGUAAGUUUUUUACCGUUAUAUAUUUCUAGGAUCAUUUUCAACCAUUAGAUUAUACUAUUCAACCAACCACCCACUCAACCCUAGGGGGCCGACAUUAUCCUAACCGCAUAUCUCUUAAUCCAAUGGCUAAAAAUCUACAAGCACCAAUAACUUGGUACUUUUAAAAGCAUAGGAGCUUAAUUAUAUAUAUAUAUAUAGUGGGCUGGUAUGCUUCUAGAAGCACGGAGCCAUCAUGAUUUCAAGUUGUUUUCGAUGUUCGGACUUUCGAAUUGACGAUUGGCUCCGUUAGAGUUGAUCUAGAGUGUUUGAAUUAUCUAGAAAAUAAAUUUUGUGAUUUUUUAAUAUCAUUUGCCUAGUGAUCGAAGUGGCUCAAAAUCAAUAAUUUUAAUGGCUGUGGUGAGCCAUUUGCAAGAUUAACGGUGUAGAAAUAUCCAAAUCACAUAAAAUUUUGAUAGAAAAUUUUUUAUACCGUAUAAAAUUAGAUCAAUAACUUGUUCUAAAAUUUUAAUGUCAUAUCAUUAUAUUUUGUAUGAUUUUUAUUUUUAGCCGUUGAUUUGAGCCACUUCGAUCACUAGACAAAUAAUAUCGAAAAAUUACAAAAUUUAUUUUCUAAAUACUUCAAAUAUUCUAAAUCAUUCUAACGGAGCCGAUCGUCGAUUCGAAAGUCCGAACAUCGAAAAUAACUUGGAAGCACGGAGUGCUCCGUGCUUCCAGAAACAUACCAGACGCACUCUAUAUAUAUAUAAUAUAUAUAUAUCAUGCAGUGGAGAUUUUUAUUUUGGCAGUCUAUUUUUUAUGCUAGUAUUAUGAGAUCAAUUAGUAUUUCGGAAGGUGUGGUGAACACUUCGACACUAGAAAAGAUUUUGAGACAUCAUUGCUUGUUUAUUUGCUUUAAAUAUUUUUUCCAGCUUGCAUGCUCAGCGAGCCUUGGAAGGGAGCAUGGGUCAGCGUAAAUCGGUUUGAAAAGCCUGAUGCUCACUAGAGGUCAGCUUCUGCAAGCGCUCCUAACUAUUUUUAAUAAUAUUUCUAAAUUUUAAUUUUAAAUCGACAUGUUGCUACUUCUGUGUUUGAUCCUUGAGGGCCCAGUUUGACCGAUGGACUCAACUUCACCAGUUCGUUCAAAAAGGCCCAAUCUCACCGGGCUCGAACCAAAUGUACGGCACACCUCUUGGGCCCGAACCUUGUCCUCCCAUGCUUCGUGCCCCAUGGAAGCAAUCACCUAGCCCAGGUGACAAAGAACUUAACGGAACCUUAAAUUGAAAUGCUAAUUAUUUCUAUAUUUCUAGCAAAGUAGAUAUCAUAUUAUAUUUCUCUUUUUCCGGAACAAACAAAAGAUACGGUGAUUAAUUAUAUAUAUAUAUAAUAUAUAUAUAUUUAUGCCUAUGGUAAACAUAGAAGAAUGGGGCAUGCGACACAGAUACGUACGUCCUAUCCCGAUCUCCCGUGCUUGCUCAGAAUCUAAUUUUACUAUUUGAUUGGAAUCUCACCAUUGCGGAAACACACGAGAGAGGGGAUUGAUGAGGGGGACUCAAAUUAACAGAGGGAAAAUUGAUAUCAGUACAAGGACCAUAUAUAAAUCCUCCUUCCCAGAUUGGAGAAUGGAGAAACGAACUACGAUGAGCUAGCUCUAUUCACGACUCUUCACUUAGAUCACUCCCCCCGAAAAUGUGAAAAACCUGCCACGAACUAAAACCCAGACUCACUGGGUCGACUGUUACCAACAUUGACAUAGUAGUGCAUGGAGCCGCUGCUCUCGCCGCCCAACUCCAUGCUCCUCUCGUGCCCGUACCCCUCCUCCUCAUCCUCCUCCUCCUCCUCGAUCUCCUCCUCCUUAGCCGCCACCACCCUCUCCAUCCCCAUCAUCAACCCCGGCGCCGCCACGCCCGGCGCGGCGAGCUCGGGCAUCUCGUAGCAAGACGGGGACGCCGGCCCCGACGGCCCGGGGCUGACGGAGGGGAGCUUCGAGAGGAGCGCCUCGAGGCUGCUCAUCGAGGGCAGGAUCCGGACCUGCUGGUUGAGGUGGCCGUCGUAGAACUGGUCCAUCGGCGGCGGCGGGGCCGACCAAUUGUCCGGCGCGGCGCUCACCGGGAAGGCGGAGGACGACGGGUGCGGUAGGAGCACGCCGGGGAUGCUCUCCAGGUAGCUGAACUUCUUGCGGAGGAGGACUACGUAGCUCAGAUCCUCCAACACCUUCAAUAUUGUAAUUUAGAUUCCCAUCGGAACAACCCAACAAAAACGAAAAUAGCCAAGUCAUGAAUGAGGAUUGAGAGUACGUAGCUCUUAGUAAUAAGAAUUAAUUAAAAGCAACUAAUUAAGUAAUACGUAUUGCUUAAAAGAUAUCUAAUUAAUGUUACUAGAAAUAUUAGUUCAUGAAUAAUCUUACAAGAAUUGAGGAACAGGUCUNUAAUAUAAAUUUAUAUUUGAGAGUAAAAUUAGUAUUAUAGUAUCUUAUAAUUUUUUUAGUUUAUACGAACCAAAUAAUGAAAUGUGAAUAACUAUUCCAAUUCCCAAUCCACAAAUAAACCAAACGUCUUGGGGGAGUGGGCCAUUCCAAUUACCAUUCCAAUUCAUUCCCAUUCCAUUAUUCAUUCCAAUUCCACCCUUGAACCAAACAAGCCCUAAAUGUUAGCUGUUCCAUUCUUCUUUUAUUAAAAUUUUAAUUUUUAGCAGAGUUCUGAAUUUUUUUGGUGAUAUAUUUUUAUCUGUGAAUGAAAGUUAUUAGCUUCAACGUCGUAUAGUUACCCUGAGCUUGCGUACUCAUGUAUACCAUGCCUUUUCUAAUCAUUCAUGUUUUAUAGUAUUUUGAAUCUGCAAUAUUCUCUUGCAGCUUAUGUGCUUGGCAGACCUAGAGUUUGACUAUAUCAACCCGUAUGAUUCAGCUUCGCGAAUAAAUAAAGUGGUUCUUCCAGAAUUCGCUUUGCAAGGAGUCUUAUGCUUGCUCUUUCUUUUGUCCGGGCAUUGGUUGAUGUUCUUGCUUUCUACCCCGCUUGUCUACUACAAUGUGAAACUGUAAGUGCUUCUUCUGUAACUUGCAUCAGCAUCAAUGUUUCAAAAGGCAGUCUAUAUAGCGGUAUAUGCAGUUCGGACCAUAAAUCACAUCGCAUAUUUAGUACAUGGUACAAUAUGUAGUCGAACCGCAUAUGCGGCCCAUAUGUGGUUGCAUAUGUGGCAUGCGACUGCAUAUACAUUAAAAGUUGUUUUUUUUAAGGUGGGAUUGGAAUGUAAUGUUGAAUGGGAUUAGCACACACAUACAUACAUGUGCAUAUGUAUGUGUAUAUGUAUAUACAUAUACAUGUGUAUAUAGAGUGUACGACUUGUGUGCAAAUUAAGUCAAAUAAAGUCGAAAAAUUAUAAAAUUUAGUUUCUAGAUAGUUCUAAUAUAGUAGAUCAUUUCUAGUGGAUCCGAUGGCUGCAUCGGAUGUCCUAUUAUUGAAAACAACUUGAAAGCACGGAGGCCUCUGUGCUUUCAAAAGCAUCGUGAACUAACUCUCUCUCUCUCUCUCUCUCUCUCUCUUUAUAUAUAUAUAUAUAUAUAUAUAUAUAUAUAAGAAUAAAUAGAAUUUUUCUUAAAGCUUAACUAAAGCAGUUUACCCUGUGGCGGAUGUCAGCGGUUCGAGUCCGCUUAUCUCCGGCCCGUGAACUUAGCUGAUACUAUGAUAGCACCGAAUUUUUCCAAUUCGGCAGAAUAAUAAUACUAGUAUAGUAUGGUUCGAGAGGAAGUAGUCGGAUACACUCGAACACAUCUUGCACGGCUCCUAAGUGAUAAAAGAAAGAAGAACUCAUCUUCUUUCUUUUUUGAUUACCUUCCUCGCGUAUGUAUAAGACCGAAUCCAUUAAAUUUCUCAAAAGGAUUACUAAUCCUUAACUUUUAUAUAUAUAUACAUAUAUAUAUAUAUAUAUGUAUAUAUAUAUAUAUAUAUAUACAUAUAUAUAUAUAUAUAUAUAUAUAUAUAUAUAUAUAUAUAAGCCAAGUGGAAAAUAUUAAAUAUCCCUACCUAGUACGUAGUAGCUAGCUAGCUAGGUUAUGUUUGCCAACCAUUUAGAUGUUCUUCACCUACCAUGCAUGAAAUGCUGGUUCUCCUCACCAAAAUUUUGCUGCUAAGUUGUUAGGGUUAAUGGAAAGGGACCUACCACAAUUGCAGUUUAGAAUUUGUUAGAUAUUUCGUAUGCGAAGAAAUUGGAAUCUAGCCAUUCUUCCACUGAUGACCGUCGACUAUUUUAAUUGAUCGGCUACCGCCACUGCCAGUCAGCUAUAUAUGAAACAAAAUUCAUUAGUAGGAUACGUCCCAUAUGACAAUAUAUAUAGAUACGAAGCAUUAGAUAUUUUGAAUUAAAAUUAGAAUUGAGUGUGUUAUGUGACUGUUCAUCCAAUUGCCCUAUAUAUAUAUAACGCAUGCCCUAAUACGACAUGUACCCGCUAUGGUAGUCCUCGUCGAUUGAUAACAUUAAUUUCUCUAAAACUCCUUAACAAAUUGACUAUACUUGGCAUAGCAUUGUAUUUAUUUUUUUAAGAUACUAAUUAUUAUUAAUUAUUGGUGAAUUAUUAUGGAAAAUCUCUACCCUAGGGAAAAAGCUUAUCAUAAAACCGACACUUUCCACUACAAAAUGUUAUAUGAGUGCUAGGACUUAAAACCCUAACCAUGACCUAGCCUCUUAGAAGCUAUAUAUAUUUAUGUUUGCCAUGCAUCUCGCAUGCCGAGCUCUCCAAAAAUAUUAUUCUUAUAAGCUGCUAAUAUAUAUAUAUAUAUAUAUAUAUAUAUUAAUUACUCUCCUAUUUUACUGUAAGAAGAUAAUUAGAUGAGUACACAAGUGAUCUUCUUGUAUAUGUAGAUAUCACUAACCCUUCUCCGUAGUUGUAGAUCUCAUGAGACAUCUUGAAGAAGAGCUCAGGUUGAAGGCCUCUCGUUUGCUGCGGUUGUUUGUAGUCGCCGUAGGCCGACGAGCCCGCCGCGCAGCCGAGCAUCGCUUGUUCGCACGUUGAAGCUGCGAAAUUGCAGAACCCAUCUUCCCACACCAGAAUCCUACGAAAAUUAAAGAAGAGACAAAUUAAGAGUAAUAUGAGAGAACGAGGUAGGUAGGUAAAAUUUUGAUGUACAUAAGGCUCUAUCUAAUCAAUUAAGUUCAAAAGUCCUACCAGUUCCUCCUGUUUCCUCUAGUCCUAUCAAAAGCCCCUCCUUGAAGAUCCCAUCUAUCAUCAAAAGAUACCCAAAAAAAAAAGGGGGAGAAAAAAAGGAAAAAAAAAAAAAGAAGAAGAAACUUGUAGGAUUAGAACGCUAGCUAGCUAGAUGAUCCAAGAGUUGGGUUUGUAGUUUCAGGAAGAAAUUAAGUUGCACUCUUCCUCUCCUUUUCUUUUCUAAUCUUAGACUCACUUGGGUGGUGGGUAGUUUCUGGGUAAGAUCCUCCAAAACACUGCAUACACCCACUGGGAAUUCUCAUGGAUGCAUAAGCUUCUAAGGGUGUGUUGGAGGAGAUGGGUAACAGCUAAUGGGUUGAGCUGUUCCUCCAUAAAUAUGGCUUCCUCUUCUUCUUCUUCUUCUUCCUCCUCCUCCUCUUCUUCUUCUUCUUCUUCUUCUUCAAAUGGGUAUUCUUAUUUUCCUACACACUCCAAUAAAACCCCUUCCUCUCUAUUUCUCCUUGUAAGGAGAAGUAUCACACACCAUUUGCUCUAUUCACCUAUUUGUAAGGCUACCACCAAGGAAACCAUACUUUCCCAAAUAUAUACCCCUCUACAUACUCUCUCUCUCUCUCUCUCUCUCUCUCUCUCUUCAGUGGGUUCUGCCAAAGUGUUUUAAUCAUGAGGGAAAUUUUACCAAUGUAAUCUCCCACUGGCCCCCACUUUCUUUUCUGGGUUCCCAAAGGUUUACUUUUCUCUCCCCACCAAACCCCAUAUCAAAAUCAUCCACCAUUGUUACCAUGGUAAAGGCUAAGAACUCCUCAAUAAGUGAUAUUCAAACCUUUCAAAUUUAAAAUUUAAUCAUCUUAUAUUUUUAACUAAAUUUAUUUUUUUUAAAAUAAACAAAAUGGAUAGUAUAGUAUGUUACUCUUCUCUCCUCUUUAAAAAAUAAAAAUCAUGUUGAUCAUUAGAAAAUCUUUUAUUGAUUUUUUAUGGAUUGUACCUUGUCACCAACUUAUAUGAUAUGAUUGUAGCUGAGCAGGAUCAACCUAUCACUAGUACACUACGGUGGGCGCCGUUGGUCUAUGCAUCCAAUGCUGCACUUUGAAGGAUGCAAUUUCUCUGUAGUUUCAUCACAUGCAGGGAGCAUAUUGUAUCUGAACUGCAUGCCUGAUACGUACAUGAAUGGUCUACAUGUAUUUUGCCGCAUGUAUAUAAGUAAAACUUGAAUUGCUUAUACAAAGGUCUUUUAAAUAAGCACAGAUUGUCGUUGUCUAAAUGAAAAUAAUGUAUUUAUAUUUCAUAUGAUAUUAAAUAAUUGAUUAUUAUACAACUUUAAGCUGCUAAAAAUAAUAUAUGAAUAUUGUAUAUACAAUAGUAGCUUACUUAUUUCCACUGAAAAAUAUUUUAUGCGCGAAUUAAUGUUCAUGAAUAUAAUAUGUUUAUGUGCAUAAAAAUGAACCAUUGCAGUAAACCACAAGUCAUGCGAAUAUAUACAAAGUAAUGAGUAGGGACCAAAAACCCAAAUUUUCCUCCUUAUGAACAUUUUUUUUUUUAAGAAGAAAAUAGCCUGCUAUCCGUAUUAUUUAUUUUUUAAAAAAGUAAAUUUAGUUGAAAAUAUGAAUCGACUAAAAUUUAAACUUAUAAUUUUAACUAUCAACUAUUAAAUUUUUUACCAUUUGCGUUAGGGGCGGUUGGUUCUUACCAACUUUUU
rnacentral:lncRNA from 1 species